rnacentral:rRNA from 1 species
GACGAACGCUGGCGGUGUGCUUCACACAUGCAAGUCGAACGGAGUAGCAAUACUCAGUGGCGGACGGGUGAGUAACACGUGGGAAUCUACCAUUAGAUGGGGAAUAACAGGGCGAAAGUUCUGCUAAUGCCGCAUAUGUAUGUACCUCGACAGGGGUGUAUAUGAAAGGAGUAAUCCGUCUGGUGAUGAGCCCGCGUCCGAUUAGCUAGUUGGUAGGGUAAAAGCCUACCAAGGCGACGAUCGGUAGGUGGUCUGAGAGGAUGAUCACCCACAAUGGGACUGAGACACGGCCCAUACUCCUACGGGAGGCAGCAGUGGGGAAUUUUACGCAAUGGGGGAAACCCUGACGUAGCGACACCGCGUGAGCGAAGAAGCCCUUUGGGGUGUAAAGCUCUGUCAACGGGAACGAAAUCAAUGACGGUACCCGUGGAGGAAGCAUCGGCUAACUACGUG